GAGAAGCUCAUCAUUCAGAGCAACGUUCCAACAAACUCUUUGUCCCUCUGUGAGUCAGUCUGCUGGAGCUGUGAGAACUUGAAGUGUGAUCACAAAAACCAUGCUGAAGGUAGCACUUAUUCUUGGAUGCCUCCUGAGCCUCACUCUGGCUCAACCUAUGGAGAAUGAGCGAUUUGUCCGCUCCAGUUCUAACUCUGGUUCUAACUCCAAUGAGGCGACCACCACUCAGUCUACAACUACAGUCCAGGGGGCUACAUCGCUGAACCAGAUUAUUCUGAAUCUUCUCCAACAACUUCUUCGUAACACAAACUGAAACCUGAAAUGAAACCAGAAAUAAAUAAAUGAAUGAUAUCAGCUUUGUGUCAAAUCAAUUUAUCCUGAAAAGGUGUGACUGGUUUUUUGUGGUGCCUGACAAACAAAGUCUAUAAAAAAAAAAAAAUGCAGAAAAGUAUCAGAUUGCUCAUAACCUUGAUGUAUACAAAGUUUUUACCAUAUAGUGAUGCAAU